AUAGAGCCUUCACGUGGCGUUACGUCACCCAAUCCCCCCAGGGCAGGAAUGCAGCAAGGGUAAGUGGCCUCUGUCGGGUGCGUGAAGGUUUACUUUU
rfam:Bifidobacterium bohemicum DSM 22767 Contig5, whole genome shotgun sequence.